AUUAAGGUGCCUGACUAAAGGGUUAAUUUGAUAGAUUAAAUAAAGUUAGAUU
rnacentral:tRNA from 1 species